GACGAACGCUGGCGGCGUGCUUAACACAUGCAAGUCGAACGAUGAAGCCUAGCUUGCUAGGUGGAUUAGUGGCGAACGGGUGAGUAAUACGUGAGUAACCUACCUUUAACUCUGGGGUAAGCCUGGGAAACUGGGUCUAAUACCGGAUACGACCAAUCUCCGCAUGGGGUGUUGGUGGAAAGCGUUAUGUAGUGGUUAUAGAUGGGCUCACGGCCUAUCAGCUUGUUGGUGAGGUAACGGCUCACCAAGGCGACGACGGGUAGCCGGCCUGAGAGGGUGACCGGCCACACUGGGACUGAGACACGGCCCAGACUCCUACGGGAGGCAGCAGUGGGGAAUAUUGCACAAUGGGCGCAAGCCUGAUGCAGCGACGCCGCGUGAGGGAUGACGGCCUUCGGGUUGUAAACCUCUGUUAGCAGGGAAGAAGAGAGAUUGACGGUACCUGCAGAGAAAGCGCCGGCUAACUACGUGCCAGCAGCCGCGGUAAUACGUAGGGCGCGAGCGUUGUCCGGAAUUAUUGGGCGUAAAGAGCUUGUAGGCGGUUUGUCGCGUCUGCUGUGAAGGCCGGGGCUUAACUCCGUGUAUUGCAGUGGGUACGGGCAGACUAGAGUGCAGUAGGGGAGACUGGAAUUCCUGGUGUAGCGGUGGAAUGCGCAGAUAUCAGGAGGAACACCGAUGGCGAAGGCAGGUCUCUGGGCUGUAACUGACGCUGAGAAGCGAAAGCAUGGGGAGCGAACAGGAUUAGAUACCCUGGUAGUCCAUGCCGUAAACGUUGGGCACUAGGUGUGGGGGACAUUCCACGUUUUCCGCGCCGUAGCUAACGCAUUAAGUGCCCCGCCUGGGGAGUACGGCCGCAAGGCUAAAACUCAAAGAAAUUGACGGGGGCCCGCACAAGCGGCGGAGCAUGCGGAUUAAUUCGAUGCAACGCGAAGAACCUUACCAAGGCUUGACAUAUACUGGACCGCAUCAGAGAUGGUGUUUCCCUUCGGGGCUGGUAUACAGGUGGUGCAUGGUUGUCGUCAGCUCGUGUCGUGAGAUGUUGGGUUAAGUCCCGCAACGAGCGCAACCCUCGUUCUAUGUUGCCAGCACGUUAUGGUGGGGACUCAUAGGAGACUGCCGGGGUCAACUCGGAGGAAGGUGGGGAUGACGUCAAAUCAUCAUGCCCCUUAUGUCUUGGGCUUCACGCAUGCUACAAUGGCCGGUACAGAGGGUUGCGAUACUGUGAGGUGGAGCUAAUCCCUAAAAGCCGGUCUCAGUUCGGAUUGGGGUCUGCAACUCGACCCCAUGAAGUCGGAGUCGCUAGUAAUCGCAGAUCAGCAACGCUGCGGUGAAUACGUUCCCGGGCCU
rnacentral:rRNA from 1 species